UCUCAAAGGAUUUGUCUCUCACCUUGUAAACAAGUGACAUUAAACUAAUUAGGUCAAUUUGGUAUGUUCAAUUACUGGGAAGCAUUGUCAGGCAGGUUUUACUCUGAUGCUUUCACAAAGAUGCUUCAUUCUUCAGAGAGUCAUGAGAGGACUUUGACAGGGCAGAUUUGAAAACAUUGGUUUUAUUACCAAGGCUUUGGCUGGAAUACCUUAUUUGAGAAUAUACAUAAAAUCAGUUGUGAUUCAGACAGUUUUAAGAAACUAAGCCAACUAAGGUGGAUUUUACAG